GUUACCAAGCACUGGCACAGGUUGCCCAGAGAGGAGUUGGAGUCUUCAUGUUUGAGGAUAUUAAAAAGCCACCUGGACAUGGUCCCGGGCAACCAACCCUAGGGGCUCUGCUUGAGCCAGGGGGUUGGAUCAGAUGAGCUCCAGAGGUGCCUUCCAACCUCAACUAUCCUGUGAUUGUGAAAGAUACCUUUCUCCUCUCCUCUGCAGCCUCCAGCUUUUUCUGGAUCUCCUCAAGAGAGAGUUCUUUCUUCUUUGGAGAAGCUAAAGUUCGUGGUGCUUCUGAGACUGGAGAUGGCGGCUUUAGGAUCAGUUCAAAGGCCUGGCCUGAGGCACGUUUGUUGAUUUGUUUCACUUCCAUGUCUGCACAAUAAAGUGUGAAAUGAGUUCUUCAACCGUAACUGGAACUUGGCUCGAAUACCCACAGAAAUUCUGGAGGCUGCUGCAAGCCUGGGAACCAAACAACCUGCCAUGCUGGUAAAUACUGCU